rnacentral:tRNA from 1 species
UAUGAUGUCUGAUUUAUAAAUUUAGGCCGUAAUCCUGUCACCUUAGGUCGAUCGGUACCUCAGAUUAUUAACUGUGAAAUUGAGAAAUCACUUAUCACUAAAUUUUUUAAUUUCAGUUCCUAAACUUGUCUAGGUCACACCCAACAAACUUUCUCCUGGGCUAUUAGCUCAGGCGGUUAGAGCGCACCCCUGAUAAGGGUGAGGUCCCUGGUUCAAGUCCAGGAUGGCCCAUUCGUUGUUGGGGGUAUAGCUCAGUUGGUAGAGCGCCUGCUUUGCAAGCAGGAUGUCAGCGGUUCGAGUCCGCUUACCUCCACUGAUCAACUACCUGAUAACUCAAAUUGGAGAUUGUUAUUUGUUAAAUGUGAUUUAGAUGUUGUUCAACUGAAUGAACCUAGCUUCCUAUCAUUCCUGACUAAAUUUUAGGCUGAUAAGACGCUGGGCUCACUGAAUGUUUUAAACGACAUUCAGUUUGUUUCAGCAGAACCCUUGACAACUGCAUAGGAAAAUCUAGAAAAAUAAAGCAUCUCAUAGAUGCAUAGAGGUUUUUUCAUUUUUUUAAUGAUUAGAUUUCUGUGUUCAAUUCUUGAGUUAGAGCAAAUUAUCUAUUACUUAAUUCCACUUAAGAUAGGUGUUAUC